UUCAACAUCAGAAAUCAAAAUCAAAACCAAAUUUCAAUUUUCAUUCUCUUCUCUGCUUCGAACCACCACCACCAUCGGUGGCUGCCGCCACCAAAACCACCGACAAUCACCACUACCCCUGCUGCCUAGCACCACCUCGAUCAUCCACCACCGUCGCAGCCACCCCUUAUUUCCCUCCUCUCCUCGCAGCUCCACAACUCCCUUCCCCUGCCUCCCUCUUUUCGUCCCCCUCCUGCACCACCACAACCACACCACCACUCUCCAGCCACCGCACCACCCCCUAGUAAAUCCCCGCCCUCAAAAAGACCCCGGUGAACGGCUGCUUGCCGCCCAGACUCGACCGGAAACACCCCUCUGCUUUCCCCUGUUCGCGCGACCACCUUUCCCCCUUCUUGUUGUUUCGCCGGCACAAACCACACCACCACCGCCGCCUCUCCGGCGCGGUUCCGUGAUGCGGCGCCGAACCACUUGAGCCCAACCGCCCAGCCACCCAGCCUCCUCCUCCUCCUUCUUCCUCUUCCGUCGUGCACUCGUGCGGCCUGCUGCUUGCUUACCCACGUUCCAGAAACAAAGUUCCACUUGGGAACUUUUGUUAUCUUAUUUCAAGUCAGCCAACACCAAAGUCCAAGCCCAAUAUCCAUUUUUGAAUUCAGACUCGAGGCUCAGGAUGAACGAUCCAUCGAACAUGAAGUAUAAACUACGGUUGAGGUACGAAGAAGAUCAUGGGAUGCCUUAGAGUGAGGAUGCAGCCACCAAAUUCACGAUCGAUGUUUAGUAAAGAUAACUAUGUCAUUAGCAAUAAAGGGAUGUAUUAUUUAAAGUCUAAGUUUGAUUUCAUGAUUUGAGUUAGAUUUUAAUAUUAAUGUUUAAUCAGAUGUUAAAAGUAUUUAUUAUUAAAGUUUAUUUAGUAAUUUAAAAAAAGGUUAUGUCGCCUUGUAUUUCCCACGAGGGAAAUAGGCAUGUGACGC